rnacentral:lncRNA from 1 species
GCUUUGCAUAACGCUCCACUGGCACCCACAUUGACAGCCCUCUGAGUGUGGGAAUCCUGCAAAGAGACAGGAUGCCCACCAGAUGAUUGACCUGGUAUAUUAUGCAAUGGCAGCAACUUAGCCUGGAGGAGAAAGGUGGAGAUGCUUGCACCAAUUAUCCAAAGCAGCCUUUUUCCUCACAAGAAUAUAAAUUAAGACAAGAAAAAAAAAAAACUACCAUGUGCCUCCAUGUAUAUUUUAAAAGCUAGGCAGCUAUUUAAUUGUAAACAAUUGAACAAUUGUGGAUGUUUGGUUAAUAAUUUCUGUAAGGUGAAUCUUCAUUUAUGAAAGUUUUCAAUGGUCCUGAUGAGUCAAGAUAAUUUUCACCUAAGAUCAGAAACAGUUUUGUGGUCCCCAUCUGACCCACUCUCUAUAAAAGCUUCUCCCCUAUCUCAAAAUACUUUUUUAGAGGUGAUGUACUAAAAUACUUUCUAAGGUAAAUAGCCAGCUCAUGAGCUUAAGGGAAAGGUGAGUAGGUAAUUAAAAACAGGUUCUAAAUGACUGGGAAGGAAUUAUUCUUGUUGUAGUCAGACAGUGUUCAGUGUAAAGCCUUUUAAUACAGUGCUUUGCAAAUGUAAAGCCAGCGUUAAUUAGCAUAUCCAUGACCUUUCAGGACGUUUGCAUAUGACUCUCUCAUUUCAUUGAAGGAUCAAUCAUAUUUUAGCAAGCAUUAAUAGCAGUAAGACUUUAUGCAAAUGGUGUUUAUCAUACCUCUUUCUGCUUUUGUAGGGUUUUUUCCUGUUUAAACGUUAAUUUUAACUGAAAUUAAUUUGGGCGGGGUUUUCACUGGUGAGAACUGACCAGUCCGUGUUGUUUUGAUCAUCCAAAGAAUCCAAUGAGGAGCUGUCUUUUGGGGGGUUUAUGAUAUAUGUAUUAGAACACUUGAACUCAGUGCAAAUUUUAAAUAUGAAGCUAGACGCUUUAUUGAUUUAAGGGUUAGAGACAUGUAUUUUCAUGGGAAAUUCCAGGUAGUCACGGUCAGUUUCUAUGUAGUGUGAACAAUGGACUCCGAAACUAUCAAAACUAGUGUAACUUAAAUGAAAGUUAGUUUUUAGGAAUGAAAUGGUGUGAUGACUCAUGAGACGCUCUGCCAGUGCCUGGCCAAUACAAAUACAGAUGCUCACAGCCAACCAUCGGGCUGAGCACAGGGACGCCAGUGAAGGAAUUAGGCGAAGGACUGAAGGAGCUGAAGGGGUUUGCAAACCCAUAAGAAGAACAACAAUAACAACCAACCAGACCCCCCCUCACAUACACACACACACACACACACACACACACACACACACACACACACACACACACAUACACACAUCCCAGAGCUCCCAGGGACUAAACCACCAACCGAAGAGUAUACAUGGCUCCAGCUGCAUAUGUAGCAGAGGAUGGCCUUGUCCAGCACCAAUGGGAUGCUUGAUCCUGUGGAGGCUCAGAUGCCCCAGCUAAGGAGAUGCUAGAGUGGUGAGGUAGGGAUGGGAUUGGGUGGGGGAGCACGCUCGUGGAGGCAAAAGAGCGGGGGGGGGGGGGGGGAUGGGAUGGGACUUUUACGGGGGGAGGGGGGACAGGGAAGGGAGAGAACUUCUGGAAUAUCAAUAAAUAAGAUGUAACAUAAAAGAAAACAUUCUUCCAAAAAUCAAAUGAUAAAAAAUAAAGAAAGAAAAAUGUGAUGAAUGCUUUUAUUUUCCACAAUCGUUAAAGGAAAGAACGUUGAAACUCCGUGGUAGUUCUAAUGAUGCAUUUCUUAGUUAGGAUGGCAACUGUUGGGAUAAAAGAGCAUGACCAAAGCUACGUGGAAAGGAAAGGGUUUAUUUGGCUUUAGAGUUCCACGUAUAGUCCAUCCCUGAGGGAAGUCAGUGGAGAAACUCAGUAGGGCAGGAACCUGGAGGCAGCCGCUGAUGCGGAGACCAUGGAGGAGCGCUGUUGAGCGGCUUGUUCAUUAUGGCUUGCUCUUUUAUAACACUCGGUAGCCCAGGCCUGCUCCUACCCACACAGAAGGGGGCACUCACAUAUAAUUCACCCA